rnacentral:lncRNA from 1 species
GUUCCUGUGAACAAACGCUAACUUCUCUGAAGACUUUCAUUCCAUGAACUACUGAGAUACUGGGCUCAAUUGGAUAUCCAUUUGCAAGAAGUGUUAUAUAGGCUGUUGAUUUUUUCUACAUGGCUUUCCAAUGAACUUUGGAUUACUUACAGCUUUGAUUCUGAUGAUAUAAUGAUGGCCAACAUUGGCAGCCAUGGUUUCUACCAGAUGUCAGUUUUGUCCAAAUAAAGCAAU